UUUUUUUUUUUUUUUUAAUAUGUUAUUACAGUUUAAAGUACUCCAAGCAUGUGUUAUGAUGUGGUUGGAAGGAUAUGACAGGAGGAGAGGGAAAGAGAUUUCAUUCGUGUCUGUGAUUGAAGAACAAUUUUGUCUCAGUAGUAUGGAUUUCUUGAUGCAUUUACCUAGAUUUGAACCACUAUUGCUCUAUAUGUGUAAUCUAUCUUCAACUAAAGUUUCUUCCAUUGCUGCUAACCCUUGUAAUAACCGCUUUGUUUCAGAGUUUGGAAUGACAGAAGCAUUA
rnacentral:misc_RNA from 1 species